GCCAGGAAGAGGAAGAAUGAGAUGGCCUGAGAGCAGUGGGAAUGGGAACAUGGAGGAAAGCCUAACUUGUCUGUAUUCUCCUCCAACAAUGGAGGUUGAAUUUGGUUUGGGCUUUCCUAGUGCUUCCCAUUCCUAUUACUCUUGAGCACUCCUUCCUCCUUUUUGCUUAC
rnacentral:pre_miRNA from 1 species